AUGGCGAUCGGCGCACGGGUGAGUAACACGUAUCCAACCUGCCGAUAACUCGGGGAUAGCCUUUCGAAAGAAAGAUUAAUACCCGAUGGCAUAAUUAGACCGCAUGGUCUUAUUAUUAAAGAAUUUCGGUUAUCGAUGGGGAUGCGUUCCAUUAGGCAGUUGGUGAGGUAACGGCUCACCAAACCUUCGAUGGAUAGGGGUUCUGAGAGGAAGGUCCCCCACAUUGGAACUGAGACACGGUCCAA
rnacentral:rRNA from 1 species